UGAAAGGUGAACCGCGUUAUUAGCGAGGGACCGCUGUAAUUUUGAAGAUCAUACCCCCCUAUUGAUGAGAUGGGGGUUGGAUGCCUCACUGCCCUCCGCCUCUGGCAGUGGCCCUUUCUACUAAGGAGGCAAGAGUUCUGCAUGUCCUGGUGACCCUCCACCUGUUUCACAGGUGGGUGCAGCCUGAUCUAUCUAGUGAAAGUCUAGACAGACCAGACCAGCUCAACCACACAGACACUUCCUACCUGUUUUUAGGACAAAAGCAGAGUAUGCAAUAUGUGGGACAAACAAACACACACACACACACAAAUGGCAAAUGUGAGAUCAUGGGAAUCUAAGCAGCUUGAACCGAAAGUGACUAAAAAUUGUCAAGGCUGAGCAGGACUCAAGCGCAGACUACGAAUCACAAUAAACAUUUUUUUUAUGUACAUGACACAGAGUGC
ensembl:lncRNA